UACGAAGGGGACUAGCGUUGUUCGGAAUUACUGGGCGUAAAGCGCACGUAGGCGGAUUUGUUAGUCAGGGGUGAAAUCCCGGGGCUCAACCUCGGAACUGCCUUUGAUACUGCAAGUCUCGAGUCCGAUAGAGGUGGGUGGAAUUCCUAGUGUAGAGGUGAAAUUCGUAGAUAUUAGGAAGAACACCGGUGGCGAAGGCGGCCCACUGGAUCGGCAUUGACGCUGAGGUGCGAAAGCGUGGGGAGCAAACA
rnacentral:rRNA from 1 species